rnacentral:rRNA from 1 species
GACGAACGCUGGCGGCGUGCUUAACACAUGCAAGUCGAACGGUGAAGCGCCUUCCUUUUUGGUGGGUGUGGAUGAGUGGCGAACGGGUGAGUAACACGUGAGUAACCUGCCCCCUUCUUCUGGAUAACCGCAUGAAAGUGUGGCUAAUACGGGAUAUUCUGGGUCUGUCGCAUGAUGGGUCUGGGAAAGAUAUUGUUUCGGUGGGGGAUGGGCUCGCGGCCUAUCAGCUUGUUGGUGGGGUGAUGGCCUACCAAGGCGGUGACGGGUAGCCGGCCUGAGAGGGUGGACGGUCACACUGGGACUGCGACACGGCCCAGACUCCUACGGGAGGCAGCAGUGGGGAAUAUUGCACAAUGGGAGCAAGCCUGAUGCAGCGACGCCGCGUGAGGGAUGGAGGCCUUCGGGUUGUGAACCUCUUUCGCCAGUGAAGCAGGCCUGCCUCGUUUGUGGGUGGGUUGACGGUAGCUGGAUAAGAAGCGCCGGCUAACUACGUG